UACGUAGGGCGCAAGCGUUGUCCGGAAUUAUUGGGCGUAAAGAGCGCGUAGGCGGUCUGUUGCGUCCGCUGUGAAAACUCGGGGCUUAACCCCGAGCCUGCAGUGGAUACGGGCAGACUAGAGGUAGGUAGGGGAGAAUGGAAUUCCCGGUGUAGCGGUGAAAUGCGCAGAUAUCGGGAGGAACACCGGUGGCGAAGGCGGUUCUCUGGGCCUUACCUGACGCUGAGGAGCGAAAGCGUGGGGAGCGAACGGG
rnacentral:rRNA from 1 species